rnacentral:rRNA from 1 species
AAGAUUUGACAAUGGGCGAAGGCCUGAUCCACCCAUGCCGCGCGUGUGAAGAAGGUAGUCGGUUUGUUAAUCACUCUAUGUUGGGAGGAAGGGCGGUAAUCAAAUACCUUGCAGUUUUGACGUUAGCGACAGAAUAAGCACCGGCCAACUUCGUGUCAGCAGCCGCGGUAAUACGGAGGGUGCAAGCGUUGAUCGGAAUUACUGGGUGUAAAGCGCGCGUAGGUGGUUUGUUAAGUUGGAAGUGAAAGCCCCGGGCUCAACCUGGGAACUGCAUUCAAAACUGGCAAGCUAGAGUAUGGCAGAGGGUGGUGGAAUUUCCAGUGUAGCGGUGAAAUGCGUAGAUAUAGGAAGGAACACCAGUGGCGAAGGCGACCACCUGGGCUAAUACUGACGCUGAGGUGCGAAAGCGUGGGGAGCAAAC